ensembl:lncRNA PRC1-AS1 PRC1 antisense RNA 1
GCCUCGGCCUCCCAAAGUGCUGGGAUUAGAGGCAUGAACCACUGAGCCUGGCCAAAUCAACAACAGUCUUUAUGACUAACACAGAAGUGCUAAGAGAAGACUGCUGACCCAGUACCCACUGGGUUUCUUACCGCUUUCCGGACCUUGGCCUUUGACCCAGACAUAAUGGUGGCCACAGCUUCUCUUUCUUCUUCAGGUAUUUGCAACCUGUCCCAGAGCUCUCGGAUUUGAGUACGCAGCCCCUCACACACUGCUUCAUUUUGUGAUUUCUGCAUUUCCAGCUACAGCAUAGAAAGCCAGUGUCACUCACGGCAAAGCAGCAGCACAGAGGCUAGCCCUCUAGCCUCCCGCAAAGAAAUGUCUGGAGUAGAGGAGGAGGCACUUUCAUGAGAGUUCAAAGUAGCAUGUUUUCAUGCCUCCUAAACACGAGCUGUAAGGCUGUCGGGAUCUCAGACCCCAAGAAUUAGCAUUCAAAUUUAGAACUGAAAAAAAUUUUAAUUAAACACUAGUCUAAUUCAAAUGACUAAUAUUAUUUCAUCUAUAAUUUCAUUUUCUUGGAGCCAUAUAAAGGUUUUUUAACUGUUAAACAAAAAUCAAGGUUGUAUAUCAUAUAUUACUAUCCUUAGCUUCCCUCAUUCUCUUACCUUACAUUGUCUCCUUAUUUAAGACUGAAGAAACAGCUGUCAGUUUUGUUCAAACUGCUAUAUACUACGGAGAUCCUAGGGCAUAAUUUGAGAAGACAGUACCUGCCGUAGCAACUUUUGUAGUGUUGCAAUAUUCUCCAAAGACAAACAAAAGGCAUCUUCGUCUUCACACACCACAUCUCUUUCAAAGCUUGUGUCUGGGGUGUGGUCUAAUGCUUCCAUACACAGUAUGAUCUGUCUCUUUAUACUGACAAACUCCUCACGCCUAGAAGCCUUUAAAACAAAGCAAUUACAAGAUACCUAGAGGAAAACCAAAGUGACUUUUAGGAAGAACAAAUGUAGGCAGUGUACCUUUGUUUCCCUCAAAGUUGUCACAUGUUGCCUGAACUGGUUCAGCUCUUCUAAGCUGGGCACUGAGGCACUGUCAAUAUCAUAGUGGGGCAUACAAAGAAUUUCGCACAGUUCUUGAUCUUGCUCUUGAAGUAGCUUCAGUUCCUGUUUUCUCUCCUUUUUCUGUUUUCGCAUCAAUUCCACUUGGGUGCGCAAAUCUUUUUCUAGUUGCAAGAUGGUCGUCUCUCCUUCUUCCUGAAUAAGACAACGUACCACUGUUAUAAGAUUCCAAGUGAAUUCCUUCAGAGGAAGAGAAGGACAACAUAAGAAGGCGUGGAUGACAGACUUUCAGUUAAACUAACAAAGAAAGAACACUGCAGCACCAUCUAUGCCUACCUUUUUCUCAGCGUUUAUAAAAAAAAAUUCAUAUUCCCUACAAAGCAAAACUAUGGUAAGCAGCAGCUUCUUUUUGAUCAUCUAUUAGUUGCUUCACCUCUUACCAGGGCAACUCUCUACAGAGGUGAGAAUUACUCUGCUGGGCCUAAUUAACUACACAGCAUGUUUUCCCCACUUCUUACGUCUAGCUCCAUCCCUACGAGGAAGCCUUCCAUCUGCAGGCCCAAGUCAACGUUGCUUUCUAAGUCUCAGGCCCCAGACAGAUCACCAGAGACCCUGUGGGCUGCCACGGACCUGAAAUGGCUCAACAUGUAACUCGCUGCACAGAGUGUUCAGCUCUUUCUGACAGACGGAUAUGCUUUUGAUGAGUCUUUCCUUCAGGCUUUCCUCUUCAGCAAUCAUCAUAUCCAGGAGUUCCUACAAGAGGGAAAACAGUCCAUAAGUUUGGGGCAAUGGAGGAAAAAAACUCCCAACACCAAUACCAAACUCCUCAAAUUUCUUUUUUCUUUUUCUUUUUUUCUUUGAGAUGGAGUCUCGCUCUGUUGCCCAGGCUGGAGUGCAAUGGCGUGCUUUCGGCUCACUGCAACCUCUACCUUCCGGGUUCAAUAGAUUCUCCUGUCUCAGCCUCUUGAGUAGCUGGGAUUACAGGUGCUCACCACCAUGCCCGGCUAAUUUUUUUAUUUUUAGUAGAGACGGAGGUUCACCAUGUUGAUCAGGCUGGUCUUGAACUCCUGACCUCAAGCAAUCCAUGCGCCUCGGCCUCCCAAAGUGCUGGGAUUACAGGCAUGAGCCACCGCACCCAGCCUCCUCAAAUUUCAAGAAGGGACUUCAAAACCAAACCAAACCAAACAGGAAGAGCCUGUGCUAUCCUAAUGCCGAUGAUCACAUGUCCCUUCUGUAUGCUAUCUCGGGUGAGACACCAACAUCCUUACCCUGGUCCAAUGCAGAGACCAGUACUAUUCAACCCACCUUGAUAUGCUUCUUUACCACCUCAGUUCUUUGUAACCGCUGGUCCUCUGGAAUCCCAAUUAGCUCCCAUAUUUCCCGAAGGUGAUUUAGGGCUUUCUGCAGACAUACUAUGGACUCCUCCGCCAGCACCUCACUGAAAACCAAAAACUAAGGCCUGUUAGUUACAUCAGUCACAGCCUCUGGACUAAAAGCACUAUUUUCGAGAACUAAAAAGACUAGCUUCUCAGUGGCCUCGAGAAAAAAACAAAUUGAAAACAAGCAUUCAGCUUAAUUCACCUUUAACCACUCCCCAUCCCUUUUCCUACCAAAUGCCACUAGCAAUACAAGAUUUCAUAUCAUAUUACAUCAUGGAAGCUCAACCUUCUGGACUUUCAACAAUGAUCUACCUAUGGAAGUAUAAUACAGAAUUAUAAAUACUUUUACUAAAGAAAAACCGGACAAAAGAUGUUGGUAAAAUAAACUA